rnacentral:tRNA from 1 species
GAGCUUGCUUCUAUCGAACCGUUUUAGAAACAUCAGUGGCCAACAGAUCGCCAGAUCGUUGAGCUGCAUUGGCGGGAUUUCGCCGUCUACGUUUCUCUUUCUUCGCGGACGAACACGCGCUGGGCCUGCGUCAUGCAGGAUCCCUGGUCCUUGACGGGAUAUGCGUUAGGGGCUUGUAGCUCAGUUGGUUAGAGCGCGCGCUUGAUAAGCGUGAGGUCGGAAGUUCAAGUCUUCCCAGGCCCACCAGCCUUCGCGCUUCGCUACUUCGGCUAGGCAAGCCCUUCGAUACGAAGGCUGCCGCGCCGUAGCCUUGGCGAAGGCGGGCUAAUCAAACGAGCAUUCGUCUUCUGGUUACGGGGCCAUAGCUCAGCUGGGAGAGCGCGUGCUUUGCAAGCAUGAGGUCGUCGGUUCGAUCCCGUCUGGCUCCACCAGAUGGUUUGAUCACCGAGAACUUGUACCGUCGUCCGCGAAACAUCACUUCGCACUUACCAGUCUGGAUAGACGGUAAGCUGCGUGAUUUCUGACAUCGUAAAGAGGAGAUCGAUCCGAGUUGGAUCGUGCGGCAAGCAAUUGCCACGCGAGACUUCAUUAUCUCCGGAUCAUUUCGGCGCUCGCGCGUCCUUCAAGGUCAAACUUGAAAGACAUGCGAGUUGUAAAUGAUCCUUUUAGCGAAGCUUGACCGCCUCGCUAUCGGAACGAUCUUACGAAGCAAGCUGGUCUUUCUAGUCAAUGUCCCGGCUGUACGUAGCAUUCAUCGAGGGUGCGCGCCUUAGAGACUUCGGUCUCCUGGCGAUCGUGCAGACAACAUUCUGCCGAGUGUGUGGACCUUGAUAAUGAGAGAAUCAAGUGCCUUAAGGGUGGUCCGGGGAUGGCUUGGCGCCUGAGAGGCGGAUGAAAGGAAGUGCGUACGCUGCG